CCGAGUUUACAACUCCCAAACCCCUGUGAACAUACCACUUGUUGCCUCGGCGGAUCAGCCCGCUCCCGGUAAAACGGGACGGCCCGCCAGAGGACCCCUAAACUCUGUUUCUAUAUGUAACUUCUGAGUAAACCAUAAAUAAAUC
rnacentral:misc_RNA from 1 species